UAAUAUCUGAAAUAACUGUGUGUGUGUGUAUGUGUUUGUGCGUGUGCGUGUGUAUGUAAGUGUGUGUGCAUGUGUGCAUGCGUGUGUGUGCGUGCAUGCAUGUGUGUGCGUGCAUACGUGUGCAUGUGUGUGUGUUGUGUGUGAGUGCGUGCGCGUGUGUGUGUUUGUAUCAAAAACUGAAGAUGAACUAGUUUUGCUGUGAUUAAUUGCAAUAAUUUUUAGCUGCCACGUGAACUGUAUUUUUUAUGUUUUUUGUUUCAAGCUUUUUGUUUUUUAAUCUUAAUUUAUGUGUUUUUGGAUUUUAAUGUGUUUUUGGAUGAUUAGCUUUUCAUCCACUUGAGCCAAAGAUGAUUUUCCAUCAUCUGAUGAACAAUAAAGUUUUCUUAUUUGGAAGUCAUCAUACUUUUGCUCUCAUGAAUCCUUAAUGGGCAUUCAAUUAAAGGAAAACAUGAGAUAGUAUUGUAAUGGUAAAGAAACACAAAGAAAAUAUAAUUCAAAUGAAAUUGCGAAAUUUUAGGUUCAAUAUCAUGCAAUAAAUAUGGAAUAAAUACUGAAUAAGUUUUAGGGCACAUGCACUUCCACUAAACCUUAGUUUUUGUGAUCAACCCCUAUAUUCAAUUAAACACAGGUACCCAUUUUAAGGGCAUAUUUUGUAUUCACUCAAUGAAGCCUUUCAGUUCUCUAAGACUGAAAAAUACAUGAAACAGGAAGAGGUGUGUCCUGAAUGUUUUCGGAAGACCCAUGCUAGAAGAGGAAGCUUUUUUUUAAAUUAUCAAGUGAUUGUGUAGUCUGAAAAAGAACCUUUUUGCCGCUCUCCAACCAUAAAAUCCUCACCGUUUUAAUAUAAGCCAGGUAAUAGGACGGUGGGACAGGUGCUCUGUGUGAGCUUUAUGUGUUAGGUUGCUUGUCUGGUAAAUUCAGCGUAG